AAGAGAAACAAAUUUGGCGGAAGGGGUAUCACUGCGGGUGUGGAGGGCGGAGCGAGAGUCAAGGGCGGCUGGCGCUCGCACAGCCUAGAGGAAGCAGGAGAGGCGCUCAGAUGGGUACAGCCGGGCCAGAAGCUGCAUAGUGGGUGUGGCGAGGGCGGGGUGUGUGCACCAAGCUGAGUCCUGCCGCAGUCCAUUUAUCCUGUCUGGGUGAGUGGACGGGCGAGGAAACUUGAGGAGCAAUAUAGACCCUAUCGUGGCCUAUUUCUCUUUCCUUGUUGUUUCGUCUGGGUUUCUCUAAUGAAAAGGGAACUUGGGAGCAGUUGGAAACACACUUAAGACUCAAGCGAUGUGGGUCCUAGCCCUCGCCCUGUGCCUGUAGGUGUUUGAGCAGGGCAGUUUAGUGCACGUUCAAUGUGUUUUUUUUUUUUUUUUUUUUUUUCCAGUCACUGUGCUACGCCUUGAAGAUGCAGGCGCGUAAGACGCUCAGACCCUGACUUUGAGCUCCCAGUCUAGUAGGAAAGAUAGGCAAGCUGAAAACUGACAAAAAUAUGAAGUAUUGGGGCAUUAACAAAUGCCAAGUCUGAUCUGUAAAUCUGAAUUUAGUUACUGCCAACAUGCUCAUUCUCUCUGGGGUGAUGAGUAGGAUGAAGUAGAGAAAUGGUCAUAAAUUACAGUAUAGACCAUUUUAUAAAGAUAUAUGCACAUUUCUUAAGAGGGCAAAAGAAAGUGGUAAAACAAGGACCAGGAAGGCAGACAAGUAGGUUUUAGAGAGCAGCUUACAAAGUUGUAGAUGUGCGCACUACAGGAAAUGGAGUUUUGUACUGCUUGGAUCUGAGGGACUGCCAGAUGAGGCUUGACAGGGUCCCCUCCCGAACCCAACCGAUCUUGAGGUCCCCAAGUUUCCGACCCUGGGCCCUCCGCCAGGACCACUGCGUACAAGCCUCUCACCCCGAACGUUGAUGUUGAAGCCACAGCGCGUACAGGUAACCGUAUCCUGAGCCCCCGGCAGAGGCAGGACCGAGCCGCACUCCGAACAGAAAUCCAAGUCCGACUGAAAGCUGGAGCAAGUGCUGGCGAGGUCCAUGACGCACGUGCGGUCAGGUCUGAGGAGGGAGUUAGAAGUUAUAUUAACAAAAAGAGAGAGGAAUCCCCCCAACACAGAGGUCAGAACUAUUCUGUCCCAGUACCUGGGAGUAUAUUACCCGAGCUCUCCUCCCAUGCACGCCUCCUGCCUCUGCGACCAGGCAGCUGAAACGCCCGGAAUGGCUUACCAGCUAGCGUCGGGUACUAAAGGACUUGGAACCCUUUCCUGGGGCCGGCGAGAGGAGCCAGCCAACUCUGUGGGCUAGAGCGGCAGCUCUGCGCCCGCGGCUGAGCAGCGAGCUAGAGUGUCACGCAUUCGGGCUGACGAUUGGUUGUGACGUCAUAAUUAAUUGCGAACCGUGUCUCGGGAGCCUUAGAGAUGGAGCCCAACCUCUCCGAAGGGUGUUUGCGGUACGAGUUUCACCCUAGUGCUGAGACGUUGAGCACAAAACUGGUAGCCAAUGAUGCGCUUCCAGCCGAUUUUCCCAUCAGCACCCAAUCCUGGGGAUAUUUAUUCUUUGUCUCACAUCCUACAGGAACCGAGUCCCGGGGGAUAUCCCCCUGAAAACCGUAUUUUGCCGUAAAUCAUAUUUAAAAAUACUGAUUUCUUUGGAUUAGAGAACUACAACUACCCUGAUCCUGAGCCGGUAUUUCCCUUUUGCGGCUGCAGAGUAGUUAAAAAGAAAGCUAAGUGUUCUGGGACGUAAAGUUUUAGCGUUCCUUGGGUCCCGCCGGCGAGCGUGGGCUUUCUGCAGAGCGCAACCAGCCUCGUGUGCUUUGGGAACCGUUCGCCGCUUAUAAGGGAUUGGCCUGGGCUACUUCAUCUAAAGAUCCUAGGAUUGCUGCAGGUCAGCAGUCUCCACUGGAGAAAAUGAUCUUGGUCUUAAGACCCUCUCCAGAGAGGGUCCCACCCUGUACCUUAGGAGAAGGAAUGCUGGCAUCAUGAAGCUUCCAUAAAAACCCAGGAGAAUUAGGUUCAGGGAGCUUCCAGAUAGCUGAACACGUGGAGGUUUUUGGAGAGAGGUGUGUGCAGGAAGGACAUGGAAGCUCCAUGCUCUAUCCGAUACCUCACUCUACAUGUAUUUUCAUCUGUAUCCUUUGUAAUAUCCUUUAUAAUAAACUGGUAAACAUAAAUAUUUCCCUGAAUUCCUUGAGCCACUCCAGCAAAUUAGUGAAGCCCAAACAGGGGGUGGUCGGAACUCCAACUCAAAGCCAGUUGAUCAGAAGUUCUAGAGGCUGGGACCUGCAAUUGGUAUCUGAUAUGGAGUAGUCUUGGGGAUUAAGCCUCCAGUCUGUGGGAUAUGAUGCUAUCUCCAGGUAGAUAGUGAUGAAAUUGAACCGGAAGACACCCAGCUGUCCACUGCUUGGUGUGUGGGGAAAAAGCCCGACACCUUUGGUCACAGAAGUCUUCUGUGUUGAUGAUUGUUGUGGUGGUGUGAGAGCAGAGGAAAAACGUGGUUUGAAAGAGGGUUCCCUAAUAUAGCGUAACGAAAACAUAAAUGUCACAGAUACUCUUUCCAGAAAAUAUGUGCAUAUGCAAAGACAUAUAAAUAUUAGUAUAAAAUCUUAGUGUACACACAGGUCCUCUGAAGUCUUAGAAAUCUAGAUUUUAAAAAACCCUAACAAGAGAUAAGUUUUGAGCAAUCAUUUCACCAUCCCACAAUGCCACUCUACUUAUCUGAAUAUAAACUUGAUCAGAAAAAGGUUGUACCUCAUAACAGACUAUCAAGGGAAUAAGUUGAAAGAUGUAAUUCAUUAGUCACUCAUUCAUGAACCGAACCCAAGUGUCUAUGAUGUACCAGAUAAGGUUCUAGUCUCAGAUUACUGCUCUAGGAAUAGACUUUUUUUCAUUCUUUUUCCACCCUAUCUUCCUGUGUCCCAGCACCUGAACCCACUUUAUAUGUUAGGAGAGUUUCAUACUUACAGAGUCAUGAUAGGAGGCAGACACCAACUCCUUUCACAAAAGAGAUGAAUUCACUUUCCAAACAUCUGGCAGCUGGAUGUGGUAUGAGGCUUAGGUUUCACCAGGCAGAUAACCACUUGCUGGAUUCUGACUUGGCCUGGUGACACAAGCUGGUACUGUGCACACAUUUUACUAAGUGUGGUGUGAGUGGCAGCAGUGAUGUCCAAUUACCAGCAGCAGUAGUGACAGCAGUUCUGUCUGCAGGGUCCAUUGUCCAGCUUUAGAGUCUCAUUGGUAUGAACAGUGACAUCUGUGCCUGGCAUCAGGGGCAGUAAUUCCUAUGUGAGACUCCACCUAGGGUGUAAUUAUAGAUUCUGCUCCUGGCUAUGUAGCCUUAAACGUAUUCUCACAGGCCUUCCCAAAAUAAGAUAAACACCAAUCUAAUUAAUAUAGAUAGAUAGAUAGAUAAAUUCCUUUAUGUUUAAAUUAGA